AUUAUAUUUUGGAAAAAGUCUUUGGAAAAAGUCUAACUAGUAAAAUUUUUAGAAGUGAAAACUAGUACAAGUAUAUAAAUAAAUAAAAAGAAACUUACUCAUGUUUAUGAUCUCUGCUGAAUAAAGCACUUCAUCCUUUUCUCUGAGGAAAUCCAAAUCUGAAAUCCUCAACCACAUCACAUCUUUUCGUGCUUAAUUAUGUCUUAUAUUCCUGAUUCCUCUCAUCGCGAAGCAAACAGUAAAAUAAAAGAACUUGAAGAACAGUCUUGCUGCUUUUUCUUCUGUUAUUGAUGUAUUGCUCUUAUCUGUAGGAUCAAAACUGAAAGUGUAAUUUAAGUUCUUUUCGGGGUUAUCAGGAGAAAAUGACUCAUAACGCGUAUGCGUUAAUCGACUCCAGAGGGUUAAAAAGAGUUUUCUAUAAAACAAAAUUUAAUGAAGUCGUCAAAAUCAUGUUUUACCAAAAACAGCAUCUUCACGUUUUCUCGUGCCGCUUCCACCUCUACCUGCAGACUGAGCUCGUGCUUCAUCUUCGCGUCAGUUAUUCAGCCAAUAAAGUUAGGCCUACACUCUAAAAAACGCUGGGUUGUUUUUUCAACCCAACUGCUGGGUUGAGGCCGUUGGAUAGGACUUUGGGAUGUUUUAACCCAAGUUUGGGUUGAAAAUAACUAUUUUUUUUUAACCCAGCGGGGUGGGUUGAGGACGCGGACGUGAAGGAGAGCACGCACGUCACGUCAAAAUCGUACGUCUCCAGUGCGAGCAGCCGCCAUUUUCUCAGCGUGAUAGAAGCGAGAAGCGAGUGAAAGACUAUGACUUGUCAAGCUUGUGUCUUCAUUGUCCUCGCGCUGAGAGUUAAAGACACAGAAGCUGUUUGUGUGAGGAGUCACAGACCUGUGUGAGGAUGAGGAGGAGGUGUUCUUCUGAAGAGAGGGACAGACGGUUUAAGGAGAGUAAACUUCAGAAUAACAUCAAGUUAUCUUUAUUUUUACUAAGACUAAAAUAAUGUGUGUUUUUUUUUUAGAUGUUGAAAUCCAGAGACAAGAUAACUUCAUUCUUUUGAGACUGAUAACUCAAACUAACUGGAGUUAAGGACACAGACGUCUGCUUGUGUGAGGAGGUGGUUUUCUCAGCUUCUUCUGAAGAGAGGGAAAUAUCGUUUAAG